rnacentral:tRNA from 1 species
GGGGUGGUAGCUCAGUUUGGUUAGAGCGCUUCCCUGUCACGGAAGAGGUCGCGGGUUCGAGUCCCGUUCACCCCGCUA